rnacentral:rRNA from 1 species
CCUGCCCAAGAGAUCGGGAUAACACCUGGAAACAGAUGCUAAUACCGGAUAACAACAGAUGAUGCCUAUCAACUGUUUAAAAGAUGGUUCUGCUAUCACUCUUGGAUGGACCUGCGGUGCAUUAGCUAGUUGGUAGGGUAACGGCCUACCAAGGCGAUGAUGCAUAGCCGAGUUGAGAUACUGAUCGGCCACAUUGGGACUGAGACACGGCCCAAACUCCUACGGGAGGCAGCAGCA